rnacentral:rRNA from 1 species
UUGCGUAGGUGGUUUGUUAAGCAAAUAGUGAAAUCGUGUGGCUCAACCAUAUCGACUAUUAUUUGAACUGACAGACUCGAGAACGAGGGAGGUGGCUGGAAUUCCCUGUGUAGGAGUGAAAUCCGUAGAUAUAGGGAGGAACACCGAUGGCGUAGGCAGGCCACUGGCUCGUUUCUGACACUGAGGCACGAAAGCGUGGGAGGCAACG